AACUGAGAAAAUAGAUGAAACAUGUACGAGUGUACGACUACUUUGUCAAGUGAAGUGGCAUCUACGAGCGCAUCAGAAAUCAGAUCCUUGCCUGAUCCUACGUCAUAUGAAGAAAUUUGUGAGAAUACGUUGAGCAUUCCAGUUGCAGCCGACGUAGAGUGUUGAAUGUUACUUCAAAGAGACUAUGAUAAAAAGCAUAUUUGUUAAGUCAUCUUAAGAGUCAAGUGAGGAGUAAACGUCAGAAAGCCCUUACAGAUAUAGUAAUUUCAUUCAUCAAAAGAACUUUCUCACCAAAAUAUUGAAUGAUUUAAAAAGUGAUUCUAACGAGGUCAUUACAGAUUUGUUUUCAUUACGUGAAAAAUUAACUCACCAUAAUAACAUUCGUGUUCACAUGGCCUGUAAUGUAAAUACUUUACCAGAGAAGACGAGCGAGAUAUGGGAGACUGAAUUCAUUCCCAACUCUUGUCCAUAUAAAACACAACUACAGUUGGAGAAUGUGCAAAAUGUGUGUGUGUUUUUAUGAGAAAAUGUUGGAAGUAAAAUCAUCGGAGUUGGUUCUGUGGAAUUAUCAUUUCUCAUUCAAUGCUGUCGUUGUAUUCAAACUUACACAUUUCCAGAUUUUCCCGCUAUUUUAGUCUUC